UGCCUGUUCCAGAAGCUGUCAGGUUCUCUGGCGCACCCUCUCACCUGUUCAGACUAAUUUCCUAAGUUCGGCGGGUCCCGGACCAAGAUGGCGACCGCUGCUGCUGUGGUUUAGGCCGCCUCCCCAGCCGGGCGGGCACCUGUCCUCUGGUCCGGAAGGUGGCCGGCUGUCCCCGGCCCACACAGGGUGCUGCCUCAGCCCCUCUGUGCUUCUGCCUGUUCCAGAGGCUGUCAGGUUCUCUGGCGCACCCUCUCACCUGUUCAGACUAAUUUCCUAAGUUCGGCGGGUCUCCUGAUAGGUCUUUCUUGCGUUGAGUUUUUGCUGCCUGAAGAAGAGGGAAAGCCCGCUAUUGCUCUAAGUCUGUGCACCAUGGAGUCAGAGGAGAGACAGAUUAUAUAUUACACUUAAGGAUUUUAUUUUUAGUAUGUGUGUAUCCACAUACACAUGAGUAUAGAGCGUGCAGAAGCCAAAAGAAGUAGUUGGAUUCUGCGGGGCUGCAGUUACAGAUGCCGUCUUACAUGGCGGCUGGGAACUGAACUGAUGUUCUCUGGAAGAACAGCAAGUGUCUUAACCGCCAAACCCUUCCUCCAGCCCUAUGUAUUACAUUUAAAUUCUUACUUGGAAGAUAUGAACAUACUGACUUAUCUUUUUUUUUUGAUGUGACAAAUUAAAAAAACAUUUUAAUUUGUGUGUGCACAUGUGUGUCUGUGUGUGUGAUGUGACCUUGCAUAUCAUGGUACAUGUGUGGAGAAGCCAACUUAAGGGAGUCAGUUCUUGAAUUCUACCUCAUGUAUUCUGGGAUUUGAACUCAGGUUGCCAGACAAUACUGAGUCUGAGCCUUUACCUGCUUAGCCAUCUUAUACCCCACCCCCAGCUUCUUUGACUUAGGGUUUCAUGUAGCUCAGCACCUUAAACUCUUUAAGUAGAACAGGAUAGCCCUUAACUUCUUCUGAUCCUUUUGCCUCUACCUCCAGAGUGCUGGGAUUACAGGCGUGUGCCAGUACACCAGGCUUGUGUUUGUUCUUAGAAAAAUAAAGAAAACAAUGAUGCCCCAAGUACUAAAGCUGAUACAUACACACACACACACACACACACACACACACACACACACACACACAAACACAUAUAUAUCCGUAUAUAUAUGUAUUUCUAUAUAUGGAAUGUUUUUCUCCUUGGGUUCCCUGGAAACAUGCCAUCUUCUUUACCUCUUAGUCAUCUCUUUCCUCUGAACUAAAGUUGGCAUGGCAUCUCUGUCACCUCCAUUUCUUCGGUGGCCAUCAUACCCUCUUUCAUGUGGAGUGAGGGAAAAAUAAAAUGUUACUUCUGCAGUGCCUUCAGACAGUAGUGUUAGAGGCUCCACCUGCAUCCCACACUUACAAACUGCAAGAGGAGAAACAUUCAAGGCCUCAUGGAUCCCAGAUCUCAUGUUGUCUCUGUCAUGAACCAGGUGACAUUAGAAUACAACUUCUCUAGACCUUAGUGUCAUCUUCUGAAAACAAGUAUG
rnacentral:lncRNA from 1 species